GGGUUGAGGCUGUCAAUUUUCAGCGGGCGUACAUGUGCUAAACACAGGCAGGAAUAUGGAAUUCAGUGGAAAAGGAAAAGGAGAACAUGCUGUCAUUCACUACAUAAACAAUCUCAAUCUGGCAUAAUCGCGAGUGGAAUUACAUUCAAAGCCGAGAGAUAUGGAUGAAGCUGAGCACACAUUUUCCAACUGGUUCUGGUGUUCGCAGAAAACGCAUUGAGAGAAAACUGUGUCAAGAUUAAUACAGAUCUGAAGGAGGAGUUGAAAGAAAUAUGCUGUUUAUUAGAGAGAACUACAGAUUCUGAAGCAAUGGACGCUGAUAUAUCUUUUUCUAACCCAAGAGAUUUUGAUCUUCUGUCAUCUCAGAAAACUGUGGGGUCUGAUCAGUCCAAAGAUGAAAGAACAGAGCAUGAAAUCUUAAAUGAAGCUGUGAAAUUAUUGUCAUAUGGAAAGUACUCCCCUGUAAAAUCACAGCCAUCUAUGAAUCUUGAUCAACUUCAGUAUUCAAAGAGAAUUGUGAUACAUGCAUGAAUUCAUAUUAUUAUAUUUUCAUGUUAAAUACUACUCGAAAACCAUUGUCAACCUCCGCUUCACGUCGGUUGACAAUGGUGUCCUUGGGGUGACAAUUUCAACUGUUACCCUCCCAAACAGGCACUAUUUAUAUAAUGUUAGUCCUCUAAUAGCACUACAUGUGUAUGAGUUGAUGACGUAAGUCUUCUAAUAGCGCUACAGGUAUAAAUUGAUUAUUUUAGGCCAUUAAUAGACAAACAUGUAUCAAUUGAGGAUGUAAGCUAGAUAAUAGCACUUCAUUAAUGAUUUGAUGAUAAGAGUUGUAUAACAUCACUUGUAUGAAUUGAUGAUGUUAUUUAGCCAAAAGUGCUACAUGUAUGAAUGUUGGCUAGUAGCUCUACAUGUAUGAAUUAAUGAUGUUAGUUAUUUAAUAGUGCUACAUGUAUGAAUUGAUAAUUUUAUUUGUCUAAUAGUGCUACAAGAAGGAAUUGAUGAUGUAAGUUUGCUAAAAACAUUACAUAAUUAAUAUAUUAAUUGAUGUUGUCUGUUCUAUAAUAGCAUUUCAUGUACGAAUGAUGAUGUUAGUCCUCUAUUAGCACUACACAUAUAUGAAUUGAUAAUGUUUUUGUACUAAUAGCGCUACAGGUAUGAAUUGAUUGUUAUUUGGCCAAUAGCGCCACGUGUAUCAAUUGAGGAUGUAAACUUUAUGAAUGAUUUGAUGAUAAAAGUUGACUUAUAGCACUAGUGUGAAUUGAUGGUGUUACCUGGCUAGCUAAUUGUGCUAUACGUUUGAAUUGAUGAUGUUCUUAGACUAGUAGCGCCACAUGUAUGAAUUGAUGAGGUUACAUGUAUUUGGCUAACAGCGCUACAUGAAUUAAUGAUGUUAUUUGGCCAAUAGUGAAACAUGUACAUACAUGAAUUAAUGAUCAUUGUUGUCUUAAAUUGCUACAUGUUUAAAUUGAUGAUGUUAUUUGGCAAAUAGUGAUUCAUGUAUGAAUUGAUGUUGUUUGGUUAUCAGUGCUAUAUGUAUGAAUCAAUAAUGUUAUUUAGCUUUUAGUGCAACAUGUACAUGUAUGAAUGAUGAUAAAGGUUGUGCAAUAGCACUACAUGUAUGAAUUUAUGAUUUUAUUUGACUAAAAGAUAAGUGCUACAUGUGUGAAUUGUUGGUGUUUGGUUAUUAGUGCUACAUGUAUAAAUUGAUGGUAAUUAAUACAUGUAUUUGUCUAACAGUGUUAAAUGUAUGAAUUGAAAAUAGAUGUCUUAUACGGCUACAUGUAUAAAUUAAUGAUUUUAUUUGACUAAUAGCACUACAUGUAUGAAUUGAUGUUGUUAUUUGGCCAAAAGUGAUACAUGUAUUAAUUGAUAAUAGUUGUCCACUAUUGCUACAUGUAUAAAUUGAUGAUUUUACUUGACUAAUAGCACUGCAUGUAUUAUUGAUGAUGUUAUUUGGCUAAUAGGGAUACAUGUAUUAAUUGAUGAUGAUAACUUUCUAAAUUUAAAUUAAUUCCACAUCUCUGUCUUUUUUUCGUAUGUAACUGAAUAAUGAAUAUUUCAAUUCACUGAUUUUGUAUCUUUUUUUCUGAAAUUAAAAUUCUCUUUCCGAUGUAUUCAUUGUAGGUUGAAAUUUGGUUGUAUUGCAUAUUUUAUUUCAUAGCUUUGUAAACAAUGGCUUUUCAUAUUUCAUGAAAAUAACUGCAAUAAUUUGGUCUUUGCUUUUUGCUCCAUUUGAAGCAAAGGCUCAUUACAUGUAUUUCUUAUAAAUGAGUGUUACAUGUAGGCUUUUCAGGAUUUUUUUUUCGUAUCAGGUGGUUAUAUGUACAUUUUGAAGUUUAUAACUGUAACAAAUAAUCCAUGAAUAUUAAACAGGUUAUUUAUUAAGUUAAAGAUUGUUAUUUGCUGUGUUCUUCUCAGCUAUCAUCUUAACAAUAUACUUAUGUUGUAAACUCUGCUCAAAAAUACAAAUGUAUAUGAUAAAAAAAAUGUUUGAUAUGUACAUUCAUUUAAAUUUGAAUACAUGUAACAUGAAAUCCAUUGUUAUUGUAUUUUAACAGUUUUAUGUCAAAGCGGAUGCUUAUAUAAAUUGAGGUGCUGUGGGACAUAAUUCCAUUUUAAUAUGGA